rnacentral:ncRNA from 1 species
UGAAGAUAGGUCGUAUAAAUUCAAAGAUAUGGUUUGAAAGUUUCUACCUCAUCGCCUUAAAUGAUGAGACUACGAUCUUAGCAAAUAU